UUUGUAUAUAAAAUUACCUAUUAGUGUCUCAUUCCAAGUGUAGACACAAACAAUACAGAAUCAAGACUUUCAGCUAACACAUUUAAAUUUCAAGUAAAACAUGUGAAAUAAAAGAAUGUGAAGCACCAAUAUCAAUUAACAUACGCAAGGUGUUUGUCGAUAAUGUACGUAUCUUAUAUUACGUCUGGGUUGGCUUCAAUAUCCUGCUGGGUAAGUGUAUAGACUUUGCCCUGAACUGCGGGUCUGGCCUGAUUCUGAUUCUGAUUCUACGGGCAUACUCUUGCAUAGUGUUGGGCACUCUCACAUAUGCGAUAGGUGUUGUUGAGGCAAUAACAAGAUUAAUCCCCAUGAUCCUUACUACAAUACUGACAAAUCUUGUUACGUCAUAUCACUUAGGUCUGGGAAGGAGCUUGAGUUGUGGGCCUUAGUCUCUUGUUCUGUUGAUUCGUUGCAGUAGGUGCUGGCCUGCGAUGUGGAACUGGGGGCCUGGACCUACCCACUGUUGGAGAAAAAAUGCAGAGGUUCUUUCUAUCAACUGUGCCUUUGCCAAAACUGCUGAGUAUGUGCUAAACUCAAACACAUAUAACUGCUAUCUAAUUUUAGGACGGAGACCCCACUCAAACUUUUUUGUCUUUCUGCCUUCGUUUGUCAUGCUCUUAGGAGAGUAUCGACCUAAUUUCAAGAAUUUUCAAGCAUACUCUGAUACCAACAAAUCUCCCUAGACUAAAUGUGCAAACUUCAUCUCUUUCAAAUGUUGGAGGUGUUUUAGAAGGUACUCAACAUUAAAGAUUGUCAUGAACCAUUCUCAGGUGACUUGAGUGGGUAGCGUGACCUAUUUCAGUUGCCACCAAUACUCUGCCUCACCCACGAGCUUGUAAGUGGCAAUAAUGACCUUCUAUUUGGGAACUACUCUAAGAUUUGUGAAGACUUCUCUGUCUCUACUAACCAGUAUUCAGCUUCUUC
rnacentral:lncRNA from 1 species